rnacentral:rRNA from 1 species
UACGUAGGGGGCAAGCGUUGUCCGGAUUUAUUGGGCGUAAAGAGCGUGUAGGCGGCUUGGUAGGUCUUGCGUCAAAACCUGAGGCUCAACCUCAGUUCGCGUGGGAAACCACCUAGCUAGAGUCCGGAAGAGGAGAACGGAGUUCCCAGUGUAGCGGUGAAAUGCGCAGAUAUUGGGAAGAACACCAGUGGCGAAGGCGGUUCUCUGGGACGGUACUGACGCUGAGACGCGAAAGCGUGGGGAGCGAACAGG